CGCAUUUUUAUUUGCUUGUGGCGGGAAGAUUCCUUAGGGUUCAACAAAACUCGUCCAUUAGCUACAAAAAUUCCAACAUUCUUCCUUGGAAAAAAAAUGUCUUUCCCUAAUGAGUUUCGAGCAAGUAAGCACCUUCUUCCUUCUACGUAUAUAUCAAUGUAUACUAAUUUGCGUUUUUUUUUAAGCCAUAAAUUUAAAUUUUUAUUUUUUUAGAAUUUUACAAUUGGAAUGAAAAGUUUGUUAUUUCACAUCGUGAAUUUUUAAUUUUGGUUAAAAAAAGUUAUUCAGUUUAUUGUUUGCUUAUAAUUUUCUUGAAUUGGUUAAUUAGGAGAUCGAGAAUGUAAAAUUAGAAUUUUUAGUUAUUCACUUAUUCUUGACAAUAAGGGGGUUUUAUUGUAUCUAUCGCUUCUGGGGUUUCUUUAUAUUAUUUGUGUCAAUCGAAUUCAUGAAUUGAAUUUUACACGGUUCCUGAAUUGUGUGUUGGCUAAAUUUUUUAAGUAGAUUUGGAAGCAUUGCCGAGUAUUUUGCAAAGAAAGUACUCAUUAUUGAGGGAUUUAGACAAAAGCCUACAAGGUACUAAUUCAUUUACAUGUUAAUGAUUUUUCGUUUAUUGUAGAAUCUCUUUCCUUGAUGUUAAGUGCAGUGUAGGUAGUAAAUAGCAGCGAACAGACGUCAUUCACUCACAUUUUAUGAUUUCCAUUAUUCUUCUUUGUUAUAUAUAUGUACUCUGGAAUUUGCGUCUAUUUGUUAUGCGGUUUUCAAAAUUCUGACAAUAAGAUGCAAAUGCAUGUAAAUGUAAUUUGUUGAUUUUCUGUAGAAUAAUUCAUAUGGCUUUUCUGAUGCAACUACCAGAGUCCAUUUGCAUACUGCUUACAAUGAAUUUUAGAAGGAAUCAAUGUAAAAGACAACUGAUUCAAUGUAACAUUAUUGAGUGAAAUAGAGGUUCUGAACGCUAUAAAAGGUCAUCAUAGAUGAAACAGGACAUCUGGAAUUCUACUUUGGCAGUAACUAGCGGAAUGAAAAUUCUUUUCUUGAAGUGAUCCUAGCUGAAUCUGAUGAAGAAAAGUUUUCAGCUCAUACAAUGAAGGUUUUUAACGUGUCUUGCCAUGUUUUUAUGGUUUUAUAAUUAAUUGUAAUACGUUAUUACUUCUUCCUUAUGUUUUACCCCCUUCGUCUUAUAUUUCUUUGGUUUACCUUAUCUUUAGAAUGCUU
rnacentral:lncRNA from 1 species